ensembl:lncRNA
AUUUUUAUGCCGAAUUCAUGAAGAGAAUAAUAUAUUUAUAGUUUAUAGCGCUUAGCUCUAUUGUUUUACUUUUGUUCUGCCUUGGACCUUAGAAGACCUGUUAUGCUCCAUCUCUUUCACAGGAGACCAGGCCUGUGUGAGGUGUGCAGCCUGCACAGCAGGUCAGGCACUGGGAUAGCAGUUCUUCACAGUGUUCAGCACGUCACUCGGCCAUGCUCACACCUACUGCCUCAGGCAAAAGCAGGACUCUGGAAAAUUCACUUUAUUUGCAAAUGCACAUGGAGCAGAUUGACCAGGCACAGCACAGAAAAGUAUUACUUGGACACAGACCAUCACAGCUCCUUGUGUCUGCCUAAGACAACAAUAAAAAACACAAUGGUUAGGGAUCAGAGCAAGGAAGUCAACUGUAAAGUGUGUGUGUGAGAAGUAAGCUGCCAUGAGACUGCACAAGACACAAUGUUCCCUCAUCACAGAUGGUAGCCAUCAGCAAACACCUCCACUGGAAGGCAGCACAGCCUCAUUGCUUGGACCUGGUACUCAUAUCAUGUAAGAAUCAUGCUCAGAUUAUCAAAACACACAGUUCCUCUACAAUCUAAGAGGUUUUCUUCUGCAGAGAGUAUGGCACAGAGGACGGUCCUAUUAAACUAUAGAAGGUAUCUGUCCAGGCCUGCAGGGAGAGGGAGGUGAUAUUCCUCCUCUACUCAGAUCUUGUGAUGCCCCAUCUGCAGUACUGUGUUCAGGCCUUGGGACCCCAGUACAGGAAGGAUGUGGAGCUCUUGGAGCGGGUUCAGAGGAGGGCCACUAAGAUGACCAGAGGGAUUCAGCACCUCUCCUAUGAGGAAAGGUUGAGGGAACUGGGCUUGUUUAGCUUGGAAAAGAGAAGACUCUGAGGAGACCUCAUUGUGGCCUUCCAGUAUUUGAAGGGAGCAUACAAACAGGGGGGAUGCCUGUUUACAAGCAUGGAUAGUAAUAGGACAAGGGGGAAUGGUUUUAAACUGAGACACAGGGGAGGUUUAGGUUAGAUAUUAGGAGGAAGUUUUUUACGCAGAGGGUAGUGACACACUGGAACAGGUUGCCCAAGGAGGCUGUAGAUGCCCCAUCCCUGGAGACAUUCAAGGCCAGGCUGGAUGUGGCUCUGAGCAGCCUGGUCUUGUGGUUGGCGACCCUGCACAUAGCAGGAGUGUUGAAACUCGAUAAUCAUUGUGGUCCUUUUCAACCCAGGCCAUUUUACGAUUCUAUGAUCUUCCUGUGAUUUCUAUGGCAUUUCCAUCUCUGUCAUAUGCUUGCUUUCUAGAGCUUACAGCCAUUCUGCCUGAUAAACUACUAUAGAUCCUAAAUUAUUAACAGUGGCAGCAGUCAGGGAAGUGAGAGGGUAUGGAAAGAAACAUUCAAAAGGCCACUUUACUGAGGAGGAUGUUUUCUCUCUGUUAGGAGCAGCUGUGAGAGGGUGGACUUAGUUUGGGGCAGAGUGUGUAAGACCAGUCCUCCUCUUGGCUUCUCCAGCUUCAGAAGGAGCUGGGUCCAUAUGAAGACCCCUGCACAAUUGUCUUCACAUCAUAUUUUCCAGCAUGAUUCAGAUUUGGUCCAAACUCCUUUCAGAUGGAGGCCAGGGAGAUACUGUGUGCAUCCCUACAUGACUGUUCCCAAUAAAAUUGACACACCUCUUCA